AGGUCCGGCGCGGGCGGCGCGCGCUGACGGAGGGCGGCGGCCGCGGCCAGGGCGGCCCGAGGGACCGCGGGGCCCCGGCGCAGCGCCGCCCGGCUCCCGCUCCCGGCCCUGCCGGCCUCCUCCCUCGGCGCCGCGGCCAUGGCGGCCAGCGCGAAGCGGAAGCAGGAGGAGAAGCACCUGAAGAUGCUGCGGGACAUGACCGGUCUCCCGCACAACCGAAAGUGCUUCGACUGCGACCAGCGCGGCCCCACCUACGUGAACAUGACGGUCGGCUCCUUCGUCUGUACCUCCUGCUCCGGCAGCCUGAGAGGGUUAAAUCCACCACACAGGGUGAAAUCUAUCUCCAUGACAACAUUCACACAACAGGAAAUUGAAUUUCUGCAAAAACAUGGAAAUGAAGUCUGUAAACAGAUUUGGCUAGGAUUAUUUGAUGAUAGAUCUUCAGCAAUUCCAGACUUCAGGGAUCCACAAAAAGUGAAAGAGUUCCUACAAGAAAAGUAUGAAAAGAAAAGAUGGUACGUCCCUCCAGAACAAGCCAAAGUGGUGGCGUCAGUUCAUGCAUCUAUUUCGGGGUCCUCUGCCAGCAGCACAAGCAGCACACCGGAGGUCAAACCACUGAAGUCUCUCUUAGGAGAUGCAGCACCAGCACUGCACUUAAACAAGGGCACACCUAGUCAGUCUCCAGUUGUAGGUCGCUCUCAAGGGCAGCAGCAGGAAAAGAAGCAGUUUGACCUUUUAAGUGAUCUUGGCUCAGACAUCUUUGCUGCUCCAGCACCUCAGUCAACAGCUACAGCCAAUUUUGCUAACUUUGCACAUUUCAACAGUCACGCAGCUCAGAAUUCUGCAAAUGCAGAUUUUGCAAACUUUGAUGCAUUUGGACAGUCUAGUGGUUCGAGUAAUUUUGGAGGUUUCCCCACAGCGAGUCACUCUCCUUUUCAGCCCCAAACUACAGGUGGAAGUGCUGGAUCAGUAAAUGCUAAUUUUGCUCAUUUUGAUAACUUCCCCAAAUCCUCCAGUGCUGAUUUUGGAACCUUCAAUACUUCCCAGAGUCAUCAAACAGCAUCAGCUAUUAGUAAAGUUUCAACGAACAAAGCUGGUCUACAGACUACAGACAAAUAUGCAGCACUUGCUAAUUUAGACAAUAUCUUCAGUGCUGGGCAAGGUGGUGAUCAGGGGAGUGGCUUUGGGACCGCAGGUAAAGCUCCUGUUGGUUCUGUGGUUUCAGUUCCCAGUCAGUCAAGUGCAUCCUCAGACAAAUAUGCAGCCCUGGCAGAACUAGACAGCGUUUUCAGCUCUGCAGCCACUUCCAGUAACGCAUAUACUUCCACAAGUAAUGCUAGCAGCAGUGUUUUCGGAACAGUGCCAGUGGGUGCUUCGGCACAGACACAGCCCGCUUCUUCCAGUGUGCCUGCUCCCUUUGGAGCUACGCCUUCCACAAAUCCAUUUGUUGCUGCUGCUGGUCCUUCUGUGGCAUCUUCUACAAAUCCAUUUCAGACCAAUGCCAGAGGAGCAACAGGCCUUUCUGGAGCAAUGCAUUCUCAAGUGUUUCCUCACGCUCAUUUUGCCGCGACCUUUGGCACCGCCUCCAUGAGCAUGCCCGCGGGCUUCGGGACUCCCGCUUCCUACAGUCUUCCCACCAGCUUCAGCGGCAGCUUCCAGCAGCCUGCCUUCCCGGCCCAAGCCGCUUUCCCUCAGCAGACCGCUUUUUCGCAACAGCCCAAUGGUGCAGGUUUUGCAGCAUUUGGACAAACAAAGCCAGUGGUAACCCCUUUUGGUCAAGUUGCAGCUGCUGGAGUAUCUAGUAAUCCCUUUAUGACUGGUGCACCAACAGGACAGUUUCCAACAGGAAGCUCAUCAACCAAUCCUUUCUUAUAGCCUUAUAUAGACACUUUACUGGAACGAACUUUUACGUGGUCGCAUUACAUCUCUCCGCCUCUUGCACUGUUGUCUUGUUUCACUGAUCUGAGCUUUAAACACAAGAGAAGUCUUUAAAAAGCCUGCAUUGUGUAUCAAACACCAGGCGGGCCCUGUGCCUUGCUUCUUGGGCCUUCUUCGUCUGUGUGUUGUGCUCCUUCACUGAACCUGUGUUCACAAUGACUCACCUCAUCUUUGGUCUCCACCAACAGUCUCAGACUUCUAUCAGAAAAUUAAUCUCUAGGAGACCGUUGUGAAGAUACGUUUUUUAAAAAGUAACUUCAAAGUAUGUGGUGGUAUUAUGGGGUGUGAUUUAUUAAGCCCUUUAAAUGUAGGAGAAACUUGCUAAGUGCUUUUCAUGUAUUAUACAAUCCUUAAAGUGGAUGCAUACUUUAAGGAUGAAAGAAGGCAAGGCAUAGGGAGGCUAAGCUAAUGACAGAGCUUUUGCUCUGGAGAGCGAGUAUUUCAUUGUUGGAUUGAAGGCCUGUCACAUUUAUGUGUAAGUAGCCCUUUAAAAAAAGUCUUUUAAAAUUCCAGGAGAGUUACUUUCUGUAUCCCGUAUACCUAAUAAAACUUAGUUAUUUAAUUUGAGUUCCAUUCAUAAUUUGAUGAAAUCAAUACAGUUUAUUCACUAGGCUUUUAUUUAAACUUUACAAGUUAAUUAAUGGGGUAAUUAGUGGACCUUGUUUUAAACUAAAGAAGCAUCUGAAGUGGGGCGCCUGGGUGGCUCAGUCCUUAAGCGUCUGCCUUCGGCUCAGGUCCUGGGAUCGAGCCCCACAUCGGGCUCCCUGCACCGCGGGGAAGCCUGCUUCUCCCUCUCCUACUCCCCCUGCUUGUGUUCCCUCUCUCACUAUGUCUCUCUCUGUCAAAUAAUAAAUAAAAUCUUUAAAAAAAAAAAAAAACCAUCUGAAGUGUUACAAUGAUCCCUAUUUUGUGAGAAACAUUCCAUCUUUUAUUGAUACGGUUUGUGCCCUAGGUGGUUUUAAAAUUUACUUUCUAAAGGAUGCCAUUAUUAAAAUUUGUGUUAAGUUAGCCUAUUAUAUGAAAUUCAUCCUCAUUAGUUAAAUUUUCCUUUGUAUAUUUUAGAACAUUAUAAUGUCGUUAAUUAAAAUUUUGCAUUGUAUAUUUGAACAAGUGAAUAUAUGACCAAGAUGUAAUUCUUAGUGUUGUGCCCAUGAGACUUUUUCUCUCACGAAAAAGUGCCCUGUUUGGUACUGCUUACUGAUAUAUGUGGUGUAGAUACCCUCACAAUGGCUGAUGUCACCUAUCAAUCUGAUGUCAUUAAACUUGGAAUUAGAAAGAGAUGUGCACCAGGCUCCCAAGCCUUUGCAAGCCAACUCCAGUGCAGCACUCACAAUUCUACAACUUGUUCAUUAAAUUUAUUGGUGACUGUAUCCAAUAUUUGAAGAGCCUUUUGUUUAUGUUGUUAAUUCAGCAAGCAUUUGGACACUAAUUCACUUUAAUAAGUGGACAGGGCAUGGUGAUACUUAAUCUGGAAAGACUCAAGUAUUGUGAACCCUGGUAUUAAAAAGUCCAGUUAUUGUGCUAAUGGUAAGGCUUGCACAGUCAUGACAUACACCCUGAAUUCUGUCUGCAGUUUUUUGUUUGACCAGCACAGUGUUUUAAGAACUGGGAUUUUUGAAUAGUUUUAAAACAUGCACACUUAAGGUGGCCACUGGCCUCCUACUCCCAAUUUUCUUAGCCUCAAACAUUCAAAUGUAUUUUAAGACCUUCGAGUUGGCAAAUCACGUGUCUGGGUAAGAGGGUUCUUAUGAAACCUCAUUGUUCUGAUUUUGGAGUCCUGGAGGAUUUGAAUGUAUGGUAUUAAUUUCCAGUGAAGACUUUUGCUAAGAAUGUGUUUCUUUUCAAACUUUUGGCAUCUGUAUAUUCUGUUUAUUUUCUAGCCCUGCAUAAGAAUUCAACGUGUGUUAAAAUACUAUGUUUUUGGAAUCUGUGCUUGUCCAACUCAAAGGGCUGUGGAGUUUAAUGAAAAGAGAAAUCUUGUGGCUCAGGCUCUUGUAAAAAGGAAAAGUGAUCUUGGAUAAAAUAUUUUAAUUAGUGAUUAAAAUGCCCAUUUAAGUUAAUUUUGUCAUUGGUUCUCUAGAAUCUUGACUAGGUGUCAUCCAAGUCACAGUUCAAUCAAUGAGGUUAAGAUUUAAACUCUAAAUUCUCAAUAUUUUCCCUUAAUCUUGAGUGGAGAGAGGGAGAGGAAGCACACACCCAAGGAGCCUUCUAAUUUUGACUAAAUGACCAUUAAAUAAAUGGCAGCAAAGGAUUGUAAACUGAUGUUAAUACAGUUAAUGUUUCAUAGAAUGCUGUGGGUACAAUCAGGUUUUUUAAAGACUUUAACAUUUUUUAUGUGUUAUAAAACAUGCUUAUGAUUUUUAAAAAUUAUGCAAUAUAUAAAGGGUAUAAAGUGAAAAAUUACAUCUCGUCUCCUUCCUGUGACUUCAUUCCCGCACCCCAGGGGAACAUAGUUUCUUGUAUUCUUGUAUAGUUUUUCAGAAAUGUUAUCGUUUAUUUCAUAUGCCUCUGUAUACAUAUAUAGUCCUCUUGCUGUCCUCCUUUAUUUUAAAUGUACAAUUUUGUAACUUGGUUCUUUUUAUUUAAUUUGGUUUUCUUUACAUAGUAGCACAUCCAGCUCUAACUCAUUAUUUUAAUGGCUACAGGAUUUCAUUAUAUGGAUGUCCCUUUUGAAGAGUAUUUGUAUAGAUUUUUCUACUAAAAACAUUAAAAAUUGAGAACGUCCUUAUGCAUAUGUGAAGAUAAGUCUUGACCCUGCCUGACUGGAAACUCAAUAAAACAGACCUCAUUCAACUUUGAGGCUCACCAGCUGUUUAUUAUCUUAUGCUUCCAUGUAGGAAAUUCUUUCAGUUAAGGGGCGGGGGAAUCCUUCAAAUCGACUAUCUUAAGAUAUUUGAAGAAUCCUGUGCUUUUUAAUUGAACUUUGAAGGGUUUCAGUCAGUCAUUGAAAGGUGGUGCAAGUUCAUACCCAUUUUGCACUUUAAUUUUUCCAUUGUCCCUACCCAUGACUCUGGAAGUUUCUAAAAGUGUGCUUUGGGGUGGUUUUCUAUUACUACUUGCUGGUGUUGCACCUUUCCUUAUCGACAUUAGCUUAGAAUAUAUACCUUAUAUUUAAAAAGAAACGGUAUAGAUUUACUACAGUAAAAUAUUUUGGCACAACCAUGUAUUUUAUUCUUCAAAAUUAGUUCCCUUUGCCUUAGAAAAGAUUUGGAUAAUAACUUAAAAGUUGUGAUUCUUACUCCUCAAAAGACUAGGCAGAGUCCAGAGAAUUUUUUUUUUUUAAAGAUUUUAUUUAUUUGAGAGAGAGAGAAUGAGAGACAGCACGAGAGGGAGGAGGGUCAGAGGGAGAAGCAGACCCCCUGCCGAGCAGGGGGCCCGAUGCGGGACUCGAUCCCGGGACUCCAGGAUCAUGACCUGAGCCGAAGGCAGUCGCUCAACCAACUGAGCCACCCAGGCGCCCAGUCCAGAGAAUUUUUUAACGUGCAUUUACAUUAGUCAAGACAGGAUGUGCUUCAUGGGAUGGUUUUUAUAUGAGGACUGAUACCCCCUGCUACUAGCUGAUAGCGGGGGUCCUGUAGCACCUUCAGGCUAAGUGCAGGGAGGGAAAGGACUUGCAGAGAAGUCUGAAAGAAAGGAGGAAACCUUUUUAGCAAGAAAGACAGGUUUUGGAAGAUGUGUUUAUUAAUAUGCCAACAUUUAUGAAGACUAAUCUUAAUGCAGGGGGUGGUUUUAGGUGUUGGGCCGAAAACCUACAGGCUGAUUUCAGUAUUCAUCUCUAAAACCAUUUAGUAUAGUAGAUAAACUUGGUUGAGUUAUUGUUCAUUGUAAAAUAUUGUUGGAAGAAUUUUUUCAAAAUAAAGACUCCUCAAUUUGUGUACCAUUUGAGAGUAGCCUCUUCAAUUGUCACAUAACAUUAUGUAUUUUCUGUAAAGCAGCUCAUGCAUCUACUUCCAACUUAAUCUUUUCUAUUCCAUUAAUUAUACAUUAAUAACAUUUCUCACUUUUUUGUCUUUUUACAUUACGAAACAUCUGUUUUUUAAAAGCACGUGUUUUUACUGAGUUUCCAAUACUGAUUUUUUUUUUUUGCCCCUAAAAGAUGACAUUUUUUUCUUGAAAUACAUGUUAAUGUUGUUUGGUUUUAAGAUAGAUUUAUUGUAAUUGGCUUUUACCCAUUCUAUUACCUAUAGAAAUUUAACAGAUAAAUCGUGAACUAUACCGCCUGGUUCUUUAUACCCCAGUCUUUGUGGUAGCUGUCACUAUUAUUUGUAUCCGUCAUGAUUAUUCUGUACAUUUCUGUUUAAAUUAUUUUCAUUAAUAAUCAUCACCAGAACCCAAAAGAAAAUUUACUUUCCUUAGAAUCCUUAUUUCCACCAUGACUACCAAUAUCACCUUCCCUUCUCCCAGGGGAAAACUAAUGUUUAUUUUAGUCUCAUUUAAUGAGAAAGGGUUAAAAUUCUUUUUUUCCUCCCCCUGCCCCCUUAAAUGGUAUGCUGACAAUUUUUACUGAACUUGUUUG